GACAGAGGGGCCGAGCGUUAGGCGGAAUCACUGGGCUUAAAGCGUGUGUAGGCGGACUCGUAAGUGGUUUGUGAAAUCCCAUGGCUCAACCAUGGAACUGCUUGGCAUACUGCGAGCCUUGAGCCACUUAGGGGCAACCGGAACACACGGUGGAGCGGUGAAAUGCGUAGAUAUCGUUUGGAACGCCAAUGGUGAAAACAGGUUGCUGGGAGUGCGCUGACGCUGAGACACGAAAGCCAGGGGAGCAAACGGG
rnacentral:rRNA from 1 species